CAGGCUUUAAGCCAGUCGAAACAGUUGGUUUUCCCCACUGUUGUUAUGCCACCAUCUUACCAGUAGGCACAUUUCACCUAGCUGGUCACUAUUAGAGCUCCCAAGUUCAAAGCCAUGCAAGACUGUUGAAGACUUUUCUCCCUUAGCGGCCAGCAUAGCAUCUUCCAGCCCUGGGGAAGGUUCUAUCUCCUCUCAGUUCCAGCUUGCUUUCUCUCUGUAUGGAAACUAAUGAAGGUAAUGUAUGUGGGGUUGAAGAGAGAAAUUGUAAAUCAAUAUACUCAUUUAGAUAGGAAUGGGGGGGGCAGAGAGAGAAGUAGACAGAAACAGACACAUACACACAGAGAGAGACAGAGACACAGUCACACACAGAGACAGAGACAGACAGACACACACAGAGACAGAGGCACAAAGAGAGAGACAGAGACAGACACAGAGAGAGAGACAGACAGACACACACAGAGAAAGACACACACACAUAUGGGGGAGGGGGAGAAUGAACUAGCUUAACCAUCACUGGAAAAAAAAGAAACAGAAGAGAAUAGAAGAGAAGAAAGGAAGAAAGAAAGAAAAGAGAAAGAAAGAAAAAAGAAAGAAAAGAGAGAGAAAGAAAAAAGAAAGAAAGAAAGGAAAAAGAAAGAAAGGAGAAAGAAAGAAAAAGAGAAAGGAAGAAAGAAAAAGACAGACAGACAGACAGAUAGAUAACUGAUCUAGGGCUGCAGACAGCUAAUUCCCUCUCCAUCUGUAGGACACCGAGAAGAACAGCCACCAUGGUCUAUGUUCCAGUCAGUGACUCGGAACCUAGCUGGGUAAACAAUUCCUUCUCCUUUGGCAAAAGAAGUGAGCAAACAGGGCAAGGCUCGCUUGCCUGCAACCCUAGUUCUUGGGAGACCUGGGCAGGAAGAUUUCUUCUCCAAGGCCAGGCUGCAGAUGUGGAUCUCAGCUAUCCUGUGCUGCCAUGCUCUCCACCAUAAGGAUAAUGGGCUAAACCUCUGAAAUGAAGUUCUGCAGGCCCAUGUACUUCAAGCCUCUACUGAAAUGCCACCUUCUGGAAGAACCUACUAGGUAGCGCUCGGAUCCCAGCCAUUCCUUCCUGUCUGCAUUCCCUGAGUUUCCCCAUCAUACCUAAGUAUCUACAUUGGUGCCAUAGAUUCGCUACCAUGGAUGGUGAUGGGCAAGCAUCUCUGCGAAGUGUUAACUUCAGUCUUCUGGAGGGACAUCAUGGAAGAAUUUGUCACCAUGCGUCAUUCUCAUGUGUUCUGAUCUUCUGGGGUCACAGUAGCUGCCAUUGAAUUUUCCCACUUCCCAAGAUCAUGGACCGUGAGGAAUGGAAGUCUUCAGAUGCUUGGACUUUGGCUAAGGCUCUCGGGUUUCUGCUGAAGAUCUGCCUUGUGCCAGUGCUGUUGCAGGGACUUGAGCUACCCCAGCAUACAACGUGAUGAUGACUCCAACUGUGAUAAUGACUCCAACUGUCGUUGAGUCGUUACUGUAGAGAAUGGAUAGGUACUAUUGAUGCUGCACUUGCUAAUAAGUCAUUUCAUCUCUCUGCUCCAAUUUCAUUGCCAGUCAGGAAUUGGUUUGAUCAUCUCCACAAUGAGGGUGACAAGCAAGCUAUCCCAUAGUUGUUAAAAGAUACGAUUUACAAAAGGUAAAAUUACACAGGUCUAGGAUUUUGCUUAAAUCAUAAAUGAGGAGAGCUAGAGAUAUCACAAGUCAGAGAAUAGAAAAUAUGAAAUCCUCUCAUAAGAAUAGAUGCUGAAAUAAAAUUUCAAUAAAUGCAAAACCCAGCCAAC
ensembl:lncRNA